rnacentral:rRNA from 1 species
UACGGAGGGUGCAAGCGUUAAUCGGAAUUACUGGGCGUAAAGCGUGCGCAGGCGGUUUUGUAAGCCAGAUGUGAAAUCCCCGGGCUCAACCUGGGAAUGGCAUUUGGGACUGCAAGGCUGGAGUACGGCAGAGGAGACUGGAAUUCCUGGUGUAGCAGUGAAAUGCGUAGAGAUCAGGAGGAAUACCGAUGGCGAAGGCAGGUCUCUGGGCUGAUACUGACGCUCAUGCACGAAAGCGUGGGGAGCAAACAGG